GGCUUCGUAGCUCAACUGGGAGAGUGCUUGCGGCAUUUGGGCAUGCUGUUUUUGUUGCUGGUUCGAAUCCAGCCGAAAUCC
rnacentral:tRNA from 1 species